UAGCGUAUAUUAAAGUUGUUGCGGUUAAAAAGCUCGUAGUUGGAUUUCUGCUGAGAACGGUCGGUCCACUCUUGGAGUGUGUAUCUGAUUCGGUCUUGGCAUCCUCUCGGAAACGGGUGCGCUUCAUUGCGUGGUCGGUGUCCGAGACUUUUACUUUGAGGAAAUUAGAGUGUUCACGGCAGGCUUUCGCCUUGAAUAUAUUAGCAUGGAAUAAUAAUAUAGGAUCUUGGUUCUAUUUUGUUGGUUUCUAGAGCUAAGAUAAUGAUUAAUAGGGACAAUUGGGGGCAUUCGUAUUAACGCGUC
rnacentral:rRNA from 1 species